AACGAACGCUGGCGGCAGGCCUAACACAUGCAAGUCGAGCGCGCCCUUCGGGGUGAGCGGCGGACGGGUGAGUAACGCGUGGGAACGUGCCCUUCUCUGCGGAAUAGCCUCGGGAAACUGAGAGUAAUACCGCAGACGCCCUUUGGGGGAAAGAUUUAUCGGAGAAGGAUCGGCCCGCGUUGGAUUAGGUAGUUGGUGGGGUAAUGGCCCACCAAGCCGACGAUCCAUAGCUGGUUUGAGAGGAUGAUCAGCCACACUGGGACUGAGACACGGCCCAGACUCCUACGGGAGGCAGCAGUGGGGAAUCUUAGACAAUGGGGGCAACCCUGAUCUAGCCAUGCCGCGUGAGUGAUGAAGGCCUUAGGGUUGUAAAGCUCUUUCAGCUGGGAAGAUAAUGACGGUACCAGCAGAAGAAGCCCCGGCUAACUCCGUG
rnacentral:rRNA from 1 species